rnacentral:rRNA from 1 species
UACGUAGGGGGCAAGCGUUGUCCGGAAUCAUUGGGCGUAAAGAGCGCGUAGGCGGUCCGGUAAGUCCGCUCUGAAAGUCCGGGGCUCAACCCCGGGAGGCGGGCGGAUACUGUCGGGCUAGAGUCCGGAAGAGGCGAGUGGAAUUCCUGGUGUAGCGGUGAAAUGCGCAGAUAUCAGGAGGAACACCGGUGGCGAAGGCGGGUCUCUGGGACGGUACUGACGCUGAGACGCGAAAGCGUGGGGAGCAAACAGG